CGGAGUGUGGCGCAGCCUGGUAGCGCACCUGCUUUGGGAGCAGGGGGUCGAAGGUUCAAAUCCUUUCACUCCGACCA
rnacentral:tRNA from 1 species